GAGGUAAUCUCCUAUUCUUUUCAGGGAGUAAACAUCUCCUGUGUAGCAGGUUGUGUGGCUGCACAGUCUCCAUCUAUAUCACCAUAUGUGAGGUAUGGAGGCCUCACUGGAGAGCCUGCUAAGAACUUUGUCAUUAUAUGUUUUUCCUUUAUGAUGAAAUACCCCUAAUUCAUUUUUAGCAAUAGCAGGGGUGGUUGCUAGAUGUGUGUAUGUGUGUGUGUAUGUGUGUGUGUGUGUGUGCGCGCGCGCGUGCGGGCACACACACUAUUUCUGUGGUCCAAAGGCAAGAUUUAUGAUUAUGGAAUAGACAGUAGUUUGCUCUCUCCAUUUUAGUUUUAAAAACUGUUUUCCUUUGGAAUUCCAGAGCUAAUGUUUUGUCUGCUUUCUAUCUGACUCUCUUUGGAGAGUUGUGUGUGUGUGUGUGUGUC
rnacentral:lncRNA from 1 species